rnacentral:rRNA from 1 species
GACGAACGCUGGCGGCGUGCCUAACACAUGCAAGUCGAGCGGAAGACUUCGGUCUUCAGCGGCGGACGGGUGAGUAACACGUGGGUAACCUGCCUCAUAGAGGGGAUAGCCUCCCGAAAGGGAGAUUAAUACCGCACAACAUCAUGCUAACGCAUGUUAGUGUGAUCAAAGGAGUAAUCCGCUAUGAGAUGGACCCGCGGCGCAUUAGCUAGUUGGUGAGGUAACGGCUCACCAAGGCGACGAUGCGUAGCCGACCUGAGAGGGUGAUCGGCCACAGUAGAACUGAGACACGGUCCAGACUCCUACGGGAGGCAGCAGUGGGGAAUAUUGCACAAUGGGCGAAAGCCUGAUGCAGCAACGCCGCGUGAGUGAAGAAGGCCUUCGGGUUGUAAAGCUCUGUCCUGUGGGAAGAAAAAAAUGACGGUACCACAGGAGGAAGCCCCGGCUAACUACGUGCCAGCCGCCGCCGUAAAAC